GAGUUUGAUCGUGGCUCAGAUUGAACGCUGGCGGAAUGCUUUACACAUGCAAGUCGAGCGGCAGCGCGGGGCAACCUGGCGGCGAGCGGCGAACGGGUGAGUAAUGCAUCGGAACAUGUCCAUGUCGUGGGGGAUAGCCCGGCGAAAGCCGGAUUAAUACCGCAUACGCCCGAGAGGGGAAAGUGGGGGACCGCAAGGCCUCACGCGAUUGGGUUGGCCGAUGUCCGAUUAGCUAGUUGGUGGGGUAAAGGCCUACCAAGGCGAUGAUCGGUAGCUGGUCUGAGAGGAUGAUCAGCCACACUGGGACUGAGACACGGCCCAGACUCCUACGGGAGGCAGCAGUGGGGAAUUUUGGACAAUGGGGGCGAACCCUGAUCCAGCCAUUCCGCGUGAGUGAAGAAGGCCUUCGG
rnacentral:rRNA from 1 species